rnacentral:tRNA from 1 species
GGGGAAGUAGCUCAGUGGUAGAGCAGUAGACGCAAAUAAACUAUUGGUCGCGGGUUCGAGUCCCGUCUUCCCCG